UCAUACUGCCCUUUUGUACUCUGGUUUUGUGGGAUAAUGUGAACCUUUGCCAGAAAUGGUAAAGGGAGUUAUGCAUAGAGCCUGCGAUGCUCUGCCGGCCCCCUCUGACUUCACCUAGACGUGGGUGGAUGGAGCUCCCAAAAGUGAGAGACUUCUAUCUGGUGGUCAUUCAGAAAUGGAUGAAUCACAUUCUGUCUGUGGUCCCAC
rnacentral:lncRNA from 1 species